UACGUAGGGGGCAAGCGUUGUUCGGAAUUACUGGGCGUAAAGGGCGCGUAGGCGGCACGGCAAGCCAGGAGUGAAAGGCCUGGGCUCAACCGAGGAACUGCUUUUGAGACUGCCGAGCUAGAGUGCAGAAGGGGCAACUGGAAUUCCCAGUGUAGCGGUGAAAUGCGUAGAUAUUGGGAAGAACACCUGAGGCGAAGGCGGGUUGCUGGGCUGACACUGACGCUGAGGCGCGAAAGCCAGGGGAGCAAACGGG
rnacentral:rRNA from 1 species